rnacentral:siRNA from 1 species
UAUCUACUGUUUUUGUGUCGUU